rnacentral:rRNA from 1 species
GUGAGGUAUGCUGGAGGUAUCAGAAGUGCGAAUGCUGACAUAAGUAACGAUAAUGCGGGUGAAAAACCCGCACGCCGGAAGACCAAGGGUUCCUGUCCAACGUUAAUCGGGGCAGGGUGAGUCGACCCCUAAGGCGAGGCCGAAAGGCGUAGUCGAUGGGAAACAGGUUAAUAUUCCUGUACUUGGUGUUACUGCGAAGGGGGGACGGAGAAGGCUAUGUUAGCCGGGCGACGGUUGUCCCGGUUUAAGCAUGUAGGCGGAGGUUCCAGGUAAAUCCGGUACCUUAUUAACGCUGAGGUGUGAUGACGAGGCACUACGGUGCUGAAGUAACAAAUGCCCUGCUUCCAGGAAAAGCCUCUAAGCAUCAGGUAACACGAAAUCGUACCCCAAACCGACACAGGUGGUCAGGUAGAGAAUACCAAGGCGCUUGAGAGAACUCGGGUGAAGGAACUAGGCAAAAUGGUGCCGUAACUUCGGGAGAAGGCACGCUGAUAUGUAGGUGAAGUGAUUUACUCAUGGAGCUGAAAUCAGUCGAAGAUACCAGCUGGCUGCAACUGUUUAUUAAAAACACAGCACUGUGCAAACACGAAAGUGGACGUAUACGGUGUGACGCCUGCCCGGUGCCGGAAGGUUAAUUGAUGGGGUUAUCCGUAAGGAGAAGCUCUUGAUCGAAGCCCCGGUAAACGGCGGCCGUAACUAUAACGGUCCUAAGGUAGCGAAAUUCCUUGUCGGGUAAGUUCCGACCUGCACGAAUGGCGUAAUGAUGGCCAGGCUGUCUCCACCCGAGACUCAGUGAAAUUGAACUCGCUGUGAAGAUGCAGUGUACCCGCGGCAAGACGGAAAGACCCCGUGAACCUUUACUAUAGCUUGACACUGAACACUGGUCCUUGAUGUGUAGGAUAGGUGGGAGGCUUUGAAGUGUGGACGCCAGUCUGCAUGGAGCCAUCCUUGAAAUACCACCCUUUAAUGGCUGGUGUUCUAACGUAGACCCGUAAUCCGGGUUGCGGACAGUGUCUGGUGGGUAGUUUGACUGGGGCGGUCUCCUCCUAAAGAGUAACGGAGGAGCACGAAGGUUAGCUAAUCCUGGUCGGACAUCAGGAGGUUAGUGCAAAGGCAUAAGCUAGCUUGACUGCGAGAGUGACGGCUCGAGCAGGUGCGAAAGCAGGUCUUAGUGAUCCGGUGGUUCUGAAUGGAAGGGCCAUCGCUCAACGGAUAAAAGGUACUCCGGGGAUAACAGGCUGAUACCGCCCAAGAGUUCAUAUCGACGGCGGUGUUUGGCACCUCGAUGUCGGCUCAUCACAUCCUGGGGCUGAAGUAGGUCCCAAGGGUAUGGCUGUUCGCCAUUUAAAGUGGUACGCGAGCUGGGUUUAGAACGUCGUGAGACAGUUCGGUCCCUAUCUGCCGUGGGCGCUGGAGAAUUGAGGGGGGCUGCUCCUAGUACGAGAGGACCGGAGUGGACGCAUCACUGGUGUUCGGGUUGUCAUGCCAAUGGCAUUGCCCGGUAGCUAAAUGCGGAAGAGAUAAGUGCUGAAAGCAUCUAAGCACGAAACUUGCCCCGAGAUGAGUUCUCCCUGACUCCUUGAGAGUCCUGAAGGAACGUU